UCGUGCGAGAAAGCAUCUUCGGAUAUGAUUAGAGCGGCGGACGGGUGAGUAACGCGUAGGAAUCUACCUAGUAGAAGGGGAUAGCCCGAGGAAACUCGGAUUAAUACCGUAUACCUCCUUCGGGAGAAAGAAGGCCUCUCUUUGAAGCUUUCGCUACUAGAUGAGCCUGCGUAAGAUUAGCUUGUUGGUGAGGUAAAGGCUCACCAAGGCGACGAUCUUUAGCGGGUCUGAGAGGACGAUCCCGCCACAUUGGGACUGAGACACGGCCCAGACUCC
rnacentral:rRNA from 2 species